UGGGGAAUCUUGCGCAAUGGGCGAAAGCCUGACGCAGCGACGCCGCGUGUGGGAUGAAGGUCUUCGGAUUGUAAACCACUGUCGGGAGGGACGAAGCUCUGACGGUACCUCCAAAGGAAGCACCGGCUAACUCUGUGCCAGCAGCCGCGGUAAUACAGAGGGUGCGAGCGUUGUCCGGAAUCACUGGGCGUAAAGGGCGCGUAGGCGGCCUGGUAAGUAGGGGGGUGAAAUCUCAUGGCUCAACUGUGAGGCUGCCUUCUAGACUGCUGGGCUUGAGCACGGUAGAGGCUGGUGGAAUUCCCGGUGUAGCGGUGGAAUGCGUAGAGAUCGGGAGGAACAUCGGUGGCGAAGGCGGCCAGCUGGGCCGUUGCUGACGCUGAGGCGC
rnacentral:rRNA from 1 species